rnacentral:lncRNA from 1 species
GCAGCAGACGGCUAGGACAGUGGACAUUUGUAACCAUUAAUAGCCAAUGAAGAGAUCUCAAGUGGCAGUCAAAAACCACCCAAUAAGUUGGUGAUAGGCUAGCGAUUAUACUGGGAAAUACGUGGCACGAUAUGGAAGCUAGUAAUAUGAAGGUAAAAUACAAGACGAGGCAAUUUGGAAAAGCAAGAGACGCGAUUCGUUGUCGUCCCCUCCACAAUCCUGCGGUGGCCCAACAGCCUCAAGUUUCUCCUGUCCGAAGCUGACAUCUGCCUGCCCCUCGUACUGCUGUCCACACAUCAACUCCCCACUUCAAUAUCA